rnacentral:rRNA from 1 species
AUUGAACGCUGGCGGCAUGCCCUACACAUGCAAGUCGAACGGUAACAGGUCUUCGGAUGCUGACGAGUGGCGAACGGGUGAGUAAUACAUCGGAACGUGCCUAGUAGUGGGGGAUAACUCCUCGAAAGAGUGGCUAAUACCGCAUGAGAUCUACGGAUGAAAGCAGGGGAUCGCAAGACCUUGUGCUACUAGAGCGGACGAUGGCAGAUUAGGUAGUUGGUGGGAUAAAAGCUUACCAAGCCGACGAUCUGUAGCUGGUCUGAGAGGACGAUCAGCCACACUGGGACUGAGACACGGCCCAGACUCCUACGGGAGGCAGCAGUGGGGAAUUUUGGACAAUGGGCGAAAGCCUGAUCCAGCAAUGCCGCGUGCAGGAUGAAGGCCUUCGGGUUGUAAACUGCUUUUGUACGGAACGAAAAGCCCCGGGUUAAUACCCUGGGGUCAUGACGGUACCGUAAGAAUAAGCACCGGCUAACUACGUGCCAGCCGCCGCCGUAA